AGCAGACAAAGGCAAAACCAGCGAGAGCUGGCGACGCAAAAUCUCCGGUCUUAAGGCGUAGGCCAAAGAUAGCGGGAUUACCUCA
rnacentral:ncRNA from 1 species